rnacentral:misc_RNA from 1 species
CCAGAAACAAAAAAGUCUAGCGCAAUUUAGUUUGAUCAUCUAUAGAUCACAAUUUUUACUCUCAAAACAUCUUGAAUUCCUUUCCUUCCAUAUUGUCCACCAGAUGCAAGUUGGGACAAUUCUCCAUCUGUCUCUGUCUGCUGCUCGUACUCCUUCUUCCUCCCAACCAUAUAACAAGUGAGUUAUUUUGUUAGGCAUGACCCAG